UGCUUUUCGUCUCUGUGGCUGUGCGUGUUCUGGACACUUCAUGUAAAUGGAACCAUACAGUGUGUGGCCUUCGUGUGUCUGGCUCCUUUUGGCUCACAGCUGGAGGGAAUUUGCCUCAGGAUGAAUCGUGUCUUGAGUCUCAUGCGUAGCUGAUUCAAAUGGGAUUCUGGACUUUGGACUUACGAGUUGGUGCUGGAAUGAGUUAAGGGAGAGGCAGACAGAGGAGGUGACCACACCGACCACAUGCACUGAGAAGACAUGAAGACAGCGGGGAGGGCUUGGAAGAGGCCGGCCUUGAAGAUUGGAGUGA